UUGAAACACUAGUUCCCGUAUGAUUGCCAUAGUUAAGCAACAUUGAGCUUGGCUAGUACUUAGAUGGGUCACUGCUUCGGAAUACCAGGUGCUGUAA